UACAGAGGGGGCGAGCGUUGUUCGGAAUUACUGGGCGUAAAGGGCGCGUAGGCGGCCUCUUAAGUCGAACGUGAAAUCCCCGGGCUCAACCCCGGGAACUGCGUCCGAUACUGGGGGGCUUGAAUCCGGGAGAGGGAUGUGGAAUUCCAGGUGUAGCGGUGAAAUGCGUAGAUAUCUGGAGGAACACCGGUGGCGAAGGCGGCAUCCUGGACCGGUAUUGACGCUGAGGCGCGAAAGCUAGGGGAGCAAACGGG
rnacentral:rRNA from 1 species